GAUGAACGCUGGCGGCGUGCUUAAUACAUGCAAGUCGAGCGGACAGGCCCUGCUCUUGCGGGGUUCUCGAGUGCCGCACACGUGAGUAACACGUGAGUAACAUGCCCCUAUCAGUGUGGUAACUUCUGGAGACAGCGGCGAUUAUCCGAGAGGAUCUCUUGCUGCAUGUGGUGGAUAAGUGAAAGACGGCCGUGCGGGAUGGACUCGCGGCUUAUCCGCUGGUUGGUGGGGUAGUGGCUUACCAAGGGUUUGAAGGGUAGCCGGCCUGAGAGGGUGACCGGCGACAUUGGGACUGAGAUACGGCGCAGACUCCUAUGGGAGGCAGCAGUCGGGAAUAUUGCAGAAUGGGCGGAAGCCUGAUGCAGCAACGCCGGGUGCGGGAUAACGGCCUUCGGGUUGUAAACCGAUUUCGACUGUGACGAAGCGUGAGUGACGGUAAUGGGUAAAGAAGCACCGGCUAACUACGUG
rnacentral:rRNA from 1 species